CGCAGCCGGCUGCCACUCAGCGCCCUGGGGUCUCCUCGGAGCCACCCGGAAGCCUGCGCGCCGCUGGGGCGGGACCCGAGUUCGGCAACUGCCCGGGGAUCUAGCAACCGAGAGAAGGCUCAGAAUGAUCCCGUCUUGGCACAGGAUCCCCAGAUCACUGGAGUGCUGGCAGAUGAUUAAUGACCAACUUGAGAAUUAAAUCCGGGCUUAAAAGCCUUGAUUUAUAGUGUUGCAACUUCCAUGGUGGAAACCCCUCAGGCCUGUGGAGGACUUUGUCGUUCCGUGACCCCAAUCCCAGCUCUGGCAUCCUAACAAGCAGGGGUGAUCCAGAGGGCUCCUCUCCAUGAAGAGUCAAUGAACUCACAUGCAAAACUCUACUUUGCCCAACAGUACCUUCACUCGAGACCCUGUGCUCUCAUGAAGCCAACAUCAGUUUCUUGGCUCAUUGCAAUAGUUCCACCUAAGUGGCUUGUUUUUUCUUUUCUUUGAGAAACUCCUUCACUGCCUACAGCAGGCUGACCUCACUCUUUUAUGGCCUCAGCCUCCGGAGUCGUGGAUGAGCACAGGUGUGCACGGCCGUGGAGUUUGGUUCCUCUAAGUGAUGACACUCAUGCCAACCUGACUGGUAAAAAGAACGUGGGGAAGGCAGGGUCCCUGUGCUAAGUUGACUAUGCUCUACGAUGGCCUCACGUCCGUCCUGUGUGUUACUGCUCAUGCCUCUGUGGAGGGCUAGGCUCCCAAGGUGGUUGGGAAAGCGAUGCUGUGUGACUGCGAAGCCUGCACGAGAGACAGCAUCGCCAUAGCUCUGCUCGUUCUUGGGCUCUCUCAAUGGAGGUCAAGAUGAGCUGAGCAUCAGACUGCCUGACUGACUUCCAGGACCGCGCAGCAAGAGUCUCAGUUGGCUUCUGGAAGGAUGACCCCACCCUACCCCAGAAGGGAGAGCCUGCUGCUCAGUCAAGCCCAUCCAUGGCCACAGCACAGCCAUGCUGGAGCUUCUGGCUCAGAGAAUCUGCUAGAUGAUGUUGUUUUAAGAUGCUAAAUUUGGGGGGUAAUUUGUUACGCCACAUGAUAUAAUUAAUGCAAAACCUAAUCUGUAGGAGCAUUUUAACUUAAAAGGGAAGAAAAGAUGAAAAUGAAUAAGGAGAAAUAUGUGAAACCAA